AAAGUAGCUUGCUACUUUUGCCGGCGAGCGGCGGACGGGUGAGUAAUGCCUGGGGAUCUGCCCAAGUCGAGGGGGAUAACUACUGGAAACGGUUGCUAAUACCGCAUACGCCCUACGGGGGAAAGCAGGGGACCUUCGGGCCUUGCGCGAUUGGAUGAACCCAGGUGGGAUUAGCUAGUUGGUGAGGUAACGGCUUCACCAAGGCGACGAUCCCUAGCUGGUCUGAGAGGAUGAUCAGCCACACUGGAACUGAGACACGGUCCAGACUCCUACGGGAGGCAGCCAGUGGGGAAUAUUGCACAAUGGGGGAAACCCUGAUGAGCAGCCAUGCCGCGUGUGUGAAGAAGGCCUUCGGGUUGUAAAGCACUUUCCAGCGAGGAGGAAAGGUCAGUAGCUAAUAUCUGCUGGCUGUGACGUUACUCGCAGAAGAAGCACCUCUUCAUCUA
rnacentral:rRNA from 1 species